AGCAAAUCAUUCUUCAAAUUCAGUAUUUCAAGAAAAUCACAACUCUGAUUUGCUAGAGAUAGUCAUUGAUAGGUUUUCCAGGGUCAACAAUCGUACUUAAUGGCUAUGACAUGUAACGAUCUUAGAAGGCAUUCUGAUGACUUUUGGCAUUAUCAAGAGUAUUUUUCCACAGCAACAUGCCAUCCUCCUCCAUUAGCUUCCCCUGGUGCUUGAAUCACGUAAGAGAAAUAAAAACAGUACGCUAUUGUCAAUGAAAACGAUUAAAUUUGACCUAAUUAUUUUGUGCAAAGGGAAAGGACACAAAGGGAAAAUAAUCCUAAGUAAAAUAUCAAACCUCCUCCUUCGUACGUUGCUAAUAUCAAAUGGCUAAUACAUUAACUAUAAACAUUCUUAGUCGGGGAAAAUUUUUAAUAAUAGAAGAAAUUUGUAACUUACGAUUUCUAUCGACAUAUUUGUAAUCCUAUUGUAGCGCACGCUUGUAUAAUUUGGGGAAAAAAUUGCUCACUAACUAAAUUAUGGGUGCGUUGGUAAAAUCAUUUUUUAGUUGGUGUUUUACUAAUUACACCUGUACCAUGAUGUCCGCAGAAUAGAUGGCUCAAAACCAAUCACCGUAGCCAGAGUCCUCGACCUUGAUCUUUUCCGGCGGGUGCUUCGGCCUCGCUCAAAACCCCUUCCCUGUCCUUGGUGGAGAGCCUGGCGUCGCCGGAGACGAUUCCAGCAGCAACUCAGACCGAGAGAACUUCUCGGCGUCACUCACUGUACCUCCUGGAGACAGCCCAAGUACAGGGGCUUCACCAGAUUCAAGUACUUUGGGUGCGUUUGGAUGGGCAUUUAGAAAGCCCAUCCACGCCCCAAAGCUCUUUCACCCAAAAAUGGGGUGUUUGGCAACCUCCUUGAAGGGGCUUUCAAAUAAAAGCCUCCCCUUGGAAAUGCUGAAAGCUCAAGGCUGGUCCAGCCUUGAGCCUUCAGCAUUUUCGGAAUGCUGGAGGCUUCCAUUUAAUGAAAAUUUUAUUUCCUAUUCUACCCCCAAAUUUUUUUUGAAAACCCACCAUUGCCCCUGCAUUUAUUUAUUUUUAAAAUGAAAAAGGGGCAGCCCUUCGCCGGACCGGCGAAGGGUUUA
rnacentral:lncRNA from 1 species